UACAGGGGGUGCAACCGUUGCUCGGAAUUAUUGGGCGUAAAGCGCGCGUAGGCGGCUACUUAAGUCGGAUGUGAAAGCCCUUGGCUCAACUGAGGAAGUGCACCCGAAACUGAGUGGCUUGAGUACUAAAGAGGGUCGCGGAAUUCCUGGUGUAGCGGUGAAAUGCGCAGAUAUCAGGAAGAACACCCGUGGCGAAGGCGGCUCUCUGGAACGCAACUGACGCUGAGACGCGAAAGCGUGGGGAGCGAACAGG
rnacentral:rRNA from 1 species